CAUCUAUGAUGAAAAGAUUCUGCCAAAUGAUAUCUCUUGAUUAUAACCCAUACCGUUCCAUUAUUGUCUGAGGAG
rnacentral:snoRNA from 1 species